rnacentral:rRNA from 1 species
GAUGAACGCUGGCGGCGUGCUUAACACAUGCAAGUCGAACGGUGAAGCAGGAGCUUGCUCCUGUGGAUCAGUGGCGAACGGGUGAGUAACACGUGAGCAAUCUGCCCUGGACUCUGGGAUAAGCGUUGGAAACGACGUCUAAUACCGGAUACGAGGCGUGGGGGCAUCCCCAACGCCUGGAAAGAACUUCGGUCCAGGAUGAGCUCGCGGCCUAUUAGGUAGUUGGCGGGGUAACGGCCCACCAAGCCUACGAUCAAUAGCUGAUGUGAGAGCAUGAUCAGCCACACGGGCACUGAGACACGGGCCCGACUCCUACGGGAGGCAGCAGUAAGGAAUAUUGGGCAAUGGACGCAAGUCUGACCCAGCCAUGCCGCGUGAAGGAUGAAGGUCCUCUGGAUUGUAAACUUCUUUUAUCUGGGGCGAAAAUCGGGUAUUCUUAUCCGCUUGACAGUACCAGAGGAAUAAGCACCGGCUAACUCCGUGCCAGCAGCCGCCGUAAGAC